AUGUGAUCGUCUCUCGCAUAUCAAUAAGCGGAGGAAAAGAAACUAACAAGGAUUCCCCUAGUAACGGCGAGUGAAGCGGGAAGAGCUCAAAUUUGAAAUCUUAAAGGGUUUCCCUUUACGAAUUGUAGUUUAAAGAAGUGUUUUCUGUUGAGGUUUUGGUAAAAGUUCUUUGGAAUAGGACAUCAUAGAGGGUGAGAAUCCCGUAUUUGACCUUUACUUUCAACUUUGUGAUACACUUUCAAAGAGCCGGAUUGUUUGGGAAUGCAGUCCAAAAUGGGUGGUAAAUUUCAUCUAAAGCUAAAUAUUGGCGAGAGACCGAUAGCGAACAAGUACCGUGAGGGAAAGAUGAAAAGAACUUUGAAAAGAGAGUUAAACAGUACGUGAAAUUGUCAAAAGGGAAGCGUUUGACACCAGUGUUGUUUUUCUGAAAAUCAAUUAAAGAACUGUUUAUGCUAAGUUGUUUAGACUUUAUCAGCUAACUGUUUAGUUUUGAGCUUUUCUUUAAUGCACUUUUCAGUUAACAAGUCAACAUCAAUUUCUUUUGCUGUAAAAAAGCUUGAGGAAGGUGGCUUGAGAUUCGUCUUAAGUGUUUAUAGCCUCUUGCCUAUGCAGUCGGAGAGAUUGAGGUCUGCAGCGUAGAUCCUUCGGGGCUAAAUGCAUUUGUGCUAAGUUAUAGCAUUUUAUAGACAACUUGUUGACUAUGAUUUGUCUUGUAGCUUACUCGCUUAUGUUAUUUUACCUACGCUUAGGAUGUUGACACACGCGCGUGCUCG
rnacentral:rRNA from 1 species